AGAGCGAACGCUGGCGGCAGGCCUAACACAUGCAAGUCGAACGGACCCUUCGGGGUUAGUGGCGGACGGGUGAGUAACACGUGGGAACGCGCCUUUAGGUUCGGAAUAGCUCCUGGAAACGGGUGGUAAUGCCGAAUGUGCCCUUCGGGGGAAAGAUUUAUCGCCUUUAGAGCGGCCCGCGUCUGAUUAGCUAGUUGGUGAGGUAAAGGCUCACCAAGGCUACGAUCAGUAGCUGGUCUGAGAGGAUGACCAGCCACAUUGGGACUGAGACACGGCCCAAACUCCUACGGGAGGCAGCAGUGGGGAAUCUUGCGCAAUGGGCGAAAGCCUGACGCAGCCAUGCCGCGUGAAUGAUGAAGGUCUUAGAUUGUAAAUUCUCAGUAGGACGAUAAUGACGUACCUACAGAAGAAGCCCGCUAACUCGCGCCAGCAGCCCG
rnacentral:rRNA from 1 species